rnacentral:rRNA from 1 species
AGAGCGAACGCUGGCGGCAUGCUUAACACAUGCAAGUCGCACGGGCAGGGGCAACCCUGUCAGUGGCGGACGGGUGAGUAACGCGUAGGUAUCUAUCCUUGGGUGGGGGACAACUGUGGGAAACUACAGCUAAUACCGCAUGAUAACUGAGGUUUAAAGGCGCAAGUCGCCUGGGGAGGAGCCUGCGUACGAUUAGCUUGUUGGUGGGGUAAAGGCCUACCAAGGCGACGAUCGUUAGCUGGUCUGAGAGGAUGAUCAGCCACAUUGGGACUGAGACACGGCCCAAACUCCUACGGGAGGCAGCAGUGGGGAAUAUUGGACAAUGGGCGCAAGCCUGAUCCAGCAAUGCCGCGUGUGUGAAGAAGGUCUUCGGAUUGUAAAGCACUUUCGACGGGGACGAUGAUGACGGUACCCGUAGAAGAAGCCCCGGCUAACUACGUGCCAGCAGCCGC